GCUUAGUUGGUAAAGCACAAAGCUCUUAACCUUGUGGACGUGGGUUCAAGCCCAU
rnacentral:tRNA from 1 species